AACGAACGCUGGCGGCAUGCCUAACACAUGCAAGUCGAACGAGACCUUCGGGUCUAGUGGCGCACGGGUGCGUAACGCGUGGGAACCUGCCCUUAGGUUCGGAAUAACUCCCCGAAAGGGGUGCUAAUACCGGAUAAUUUCUUCGGACCAAAGAUUUAUCGCCUUUGGAUGGGCCCGCGUUGGAUUAGCUAGUUGGUAGGGUAAAAGCCUACUAAGGCGACGCUCCAUAGCUGGUCUGCGAGGAUGAUCAGCCACACUGGGACUGAGACACGGCCCAGACUCCGACGGGAGGCAGCAGUGGGGAAUAUUGGACAAUGGGCGAAAGCCUGAUCCAGCAACGCCGCGUGAGUGAUGAAGGCCUUAGGGUUGUAACGCUCUUUUACCCGGGAUGAUAAUGACAGUACCGGGAGAAUAAGCUCCGGCUAACCCCGU
rnacentral:rRNA from 1 species